rnacentral:rRNA from 1 species
CAAUAGCGUAUAUUAAAGUUGUUGCGGUUAAAAAGCUCGUAGUUGGAUUUCUGCCGAGGACGACCGGUCCGCCCUCUGGGUGAGUAUCUGGCUCGGCCUGGGCAUCUUCUUGGAGAACGUAGCUGCACUUGACUGUGUGGUGCGGUAUCCAGGACUUUUACUUUGAGGAAAUUAGAGUGUUUCAAGCAGGCUUACGCCUUGAAUACAUUAGCAUGGAAUAAUAAGAUAGGACCUCGGUUCUAUUUUGUUGGUUUCUAGAGCUGAGGUAAUGAUUAAUAGGGAUAGUUGGGGGCAUUCGUAUUUAACUGUCAGGGGUGAAAUUCUUGGAUUUGUUAAAGACGGACUACUGCGAAAGCAUUUGCCAAGGAUGUUUUCAUUG